rnacentral:rRNA from 1 species
UUACGCUGUUAUCCCUAAGGUAAUUUAAUCUUAUAAUCAACAAAAUUGGAUCAAGUAUUCAUAAAUCAAUGUAUAUUUAAACAAAAAGAGUUAAUUAAUUCUUCCAAUCACCCCAAUAAAAUAUAUUAAAUACUAAAUAAAAUAAACAAACAAAAUAAAUAGAAUAAUGUAUAUAAACUCUAUAGGGUCUUCUCGUCCUAUAAAUAAAUUUAAGCUUUUUAACUUAAAAAUUAAAUUCAAUAAAAUAAUAAGAAACAGUAUAUUCCUCGUCCUACCAUUCAUUCCAGUCCACAAUUAAAAGACUAAUGAUUAUGCUACCUUUGCACGGUCAAAAUACCGCGGCCCUUCAAAUCUAUCAGUGGGCAGGUCAUAUCUCAUAUUAAAAUUCAAGAGAAAGAUGUUUUUGUUAAACAGGCG